rnacentral:rRNA from 1 species
AAUGGGUCAGCGACUUAUAUUCUGUAGCAAGGUUAACCGUAUAGGGGAGCCGAAGGGAAACCGAGUCUUAACUGGGCGUUAAGUUGCAGGGUAUAGACCCGAAACCCGGUGAUCUAGCCAUGGGCAGGUUGAAGGUUGGGUAACACUAACUGGAGGACCGAACCGACUAAUGUUGAAAAAUUAGCGGAUGACUUGUGGCUGGGGGUGAAAGGCCAAUCAAACCGGGAGAUAGCUGGUUCUCCCCGAAAGCUAUUUAGGUAGCGCCUCGUGAAUUCAUCUUCGGGGGUAGAGCACUGUUUCGGCUAGGGGGUCAUCCCGACUUACCAACCCGAUGCAAACUGCGAAUACCGAAGAAUGUUAUCACGGGAGACACACGGCGGGUGCUAACGUCCGUCGUGAAGAGGGAAACAACCCAGACCGCCAGCUAAGGUCCCAAAGUCAUGGUUAAGUGGGAAACGAUGUGGGAAGGCACAGACAGCCAGGAUGUUGGCUUAGAAGCAGCCAUCAUUUAAAGAAAGCGUAAUAGCUCACUGGUCGAGUCGGCCUGCGCGGAAGAUGUAACGGGGCUAAACCAUGCACCGAAGCUGCGGCAGCGACACUAUGUGUUGUUGGGUAGGGGAGCGUU